rnacentral:rRNA from 1 species
AUGAGCAUACUCUCACUAGAUGUAUUCUUUUUAAUAGAUGGCGCCCGUGCCCAUUCUGAUGAUGACUACUGGAUGAGCAAUGGAUCUGAUCUCAUUGCCCGUCAUGAUGAUGGCAACCAUAUGGACUUCAAAACUGGUGGGCCACGAUCCUAUGAGGAGACAAGGGAAAGAGGGGUCAAUAUUGGAAAAGGCCUGGAAAGGAUCAGUCGACGUCGGGGGGGGGGCAAGCUGCUUGUCAUUCCAGAAGGGAGGUUAAGGCCGGAGACACCUCUUCUUGCUACAAAGUUUGCAACCGAAUGCAAUGUCACAGUCAGAGGCCAUGUGCCCGUGUUUAAACGCUGGAAGGAUUACAAGGACCCAGGCGGAAAUGUCCGAGAAGGGAUCUUCCAGAACUUUGUAGGAAAAGUUGGUAACAAAUUUGAGAUGGACGUAAAAGCUGUGCCCGUUAGGAAGGCUUGUACGCAAAUGCUGAAAGGUGCAAUUCGCCAACAACGAUACAGGCUCAAGCAGAAGUAUUUUGAUCCUUUCCCACUCAAUUUGGUGACGGAAACUUCUCCAGUCUGCUCGAUGACUGAUGACCAGUGGAAUGAGCUUGUUGAAAGCUGGAAGGAUCCCCAAAAAUGCCAAUACAUGUCUUUUGCACUUAAUGGGAGACAAAUACAAGGAGAAAGAACCCACUGCAGUGGAUUUAUUCAAAGAGUGCCACUACAGCAGCAAAAAGAAAGGCUACACACCGAUGCUGUGCAAGCUGCAAUUGAUGAAAUGGAAGAGAAAGCUACUCAACCUACAAAAGAUGGCCAACAAUCCAACUCUGCAACCAAGGCUGUGGCUGAAGUUCUUACUAAGCACACUAAGAAGCCAAUGUUUCUUAAGCAUGUGGGGGUCCAGCACGUGCAUGAGAGAUCCAGUCGUAGCGACCGUAAGGCAGAACAGGAAGCGCAGAAGAGGGGAAAUGCUGAGCUUCGGGCCCUUGUUGAAACCUUGAACAAUAAGUUACAGGAAUCAGAAGAAGCAAGGAUCAGGCAAGAAGAAGAAAGGACCAAAUUCAUCCAAGAUAAGCUCAUGAUGCAAACUGCUUAUGAUGUUGCUGGAUGCAAACUAAGUAUUUUGCUGGCAGAUGGAAGUUGUGUUGGAUGUGUUAUGUUUGAUGGCCCAAAUGGUAGAGGCCCAGAUGAAGCCACAUCAGAUCCACGUGGAUGCCACGCAAUAAAUCAUGGCAUGCAGAUCGGUGACGGAUCUGUCCGUCACCGAAACCCGGGACUGGGGCAGGCCGAGCGGGGCCGGGGGCCUGAUCAGUGA